UCACAAUCUUCAGAAAAUGAGAUUUGUAAGUGAGAUGCGCUCGCUUCAGAGAGAAACCAAAAGAGCUGUUCUUAAACCAGUCAAAGGUCACUUCUUUCUGAUUCUCUCUUCUUCCUGUCAUCCAUUACUUAUUAGAGUAAAGAUUCAUGCCAUGUGUUGGAGAAAAUACCUAUUUAAUCUAAACCAUGAUUUUUAGUUACCAUAUUGAACACUUUCACAAAUCCAUUUGAUUCACCCUUCACAAAAGUACACCAACCACCUAGAUAGCUAUGACUGAUAGGACACUGGAAAUGGAGCUAAAACGAAAUUACUUAUUCAUCACACUGUUCAUUAUUUUGGGUCCCGUGAAGAAGCAGGAUUUCAUGCCCAGAACAAGGAAAUAUCAAACUACAGCUCAUACAAUUCCACUUGGUGCCACUACAAUGGGGCUCCUAACACUGUGUGUUCCACCAUCUUCGAUCCAAACAAGAUCACCGUACGAGAUAUUUUCCUUCUUGUACUUGCUAUACUUUAUCAGCACAUGGUAGCUUAGCUUCUCAUUUCUGUAUCUGAAUGAUAAUGUCUCAGGUGACACUGUCAGCACAGAACCCUUCGGUUCUGUCACCUUGGCUCUGUGUAUGGCAGCACCAUCUCCAACAUUGGUCACUGUCCUCUUAAAUUUGAGGACGACUGACCUUGUUUUGUUGCUGUAGAGAGCUAUGAAUGAAGGGUAGUUAAGAUCAAACGAUGGUUUAGUACAAUUAUAGGAACCUGAUCUUGUAAUGGUUAAGAUCUGUUUUUGUGUGUAAUUCAAAGCACAAAGGAGAUUGACGUAGUCCUGUGGGGUGGCAUCAUAUAUCAAACCUGGAUCAAGUGCUUUGUUAGGGUCAAUUUGACCUGCUCCCAUGUCUAGAGGGGAAGCAUAUUGAGAAGGNNNN
rnacentral:lncRNA from 1 species